AUGAUCCUUCUGGACCUCACAAUUCCAACCUGGACACAAAAACGGAGAUGAAGGUCGAGGUCAUCUCCAAAAUCCAGGAUGAUCCUUCUGGGAACGCGAUUCUGACUUGGACCAACAACCGGCGACGGAAUUUGGGAUCAUCCUUGGGUUGAAAUCCUUGGAAUCUUCUUCUGGACGUCGUGAUUCCGACUUGGAUCAACAGUUGGUGAUGAAGGUUGGGAUCAUUUUGGGUUGGGAUCUCCAGAAUCCAGGAUGAUCCUUCUGGACCUCACAAUUGCAACCGGGACGCAAAAACAGGGAUGAAGGUUGAGGUCAUCUCCAAAAUCCAGGAUGAUCCUUCUGGGAACGCGAUUCCAACGGGGAUCCACCGACCAGCAAUGGAAUUUGGGAUCAUCCUUGGGUUGAAAUCUGUGGAAUCUUCCAUUGGAGCUCGUGGUUCUGCUGGAACCCAUCAACUGGUGAUGGAACUUGGGAUCAUCUUUGGGUGGAAAUCUGGAAUCUCCUUUGGGACCUCAUGAUUCCACCUGGGAUCCAGCACUGAUGAUGGAAUUUGGGAUCAUCUUUGGCUUGAAAUCCUUGGAAUCUCCUUCUGGGAACACGAUUCCAGCCAGGAUCCAACGACCGGCGAUGGAAUUUGCCAAGGUUCUCCCUCUGGAGCAGCGACAUUCCCGGGACAUCUGAUCCUCUGGAAUCCAUGGAUUUCCUUGGCCGUUGGAUCUUUUCCCAACAAUUUUCCCUCAUUUUUUUGGCGGCAAAAUCCCCGAUCCCACAAAUCCCUGGGGAAUUCCAGCUCCAUCCCUUGGGAAUUCCCAUCCCGUUCCCAAUCGGUACCGUCGGGUUUGUCCGGAGACGUUCCCAAAUUAAUUUCUUUUCUUUCUUCCUUUUUUUUUUGGGCAGAAAUGGCGCCAAAAUUGAAGAAAAAAGGGCACUCGGGGCGGGAGCAGAAAAAGGUCACCUGCGGGAAGCCCCCUCCCCCCUCAUGAUGCCUUCCCCACAGAUGGCGCCGUUCCAGGGCCUCGUGCCUCAGUCGCCCCCUCAGCAGAGCAUCCAGCCAAAAAAACAGGAGCUGCGGGCGGUGUCGGGAUCAGGAUCAGGAGUAGGAUCAGGAUUGGGAUUGGGAUUUCGGGUCCCAUCCUGACCCCGGUUUCCCUCAGGAGCUGCGGGCGGUGUCGGGAUCAGGAUUGGGGUCAGGAUUGGGGUCGGGAUUGGGAUUUCGGGUCCCAUCCUGACCCCGGUUUCCCUCAGGAGCUGCGGGCGGUGUCGGGAU